ACCUUCUCUUCCUGCAUACCCCAUUAUUUGUGUGACCCAAUCCUAUCACUCUCAUCUCUCCAGGGCCCAGCACAUGGCCUGCCCCUCUCUUACCUGCCCCCUGGAGGCUCAGGAUCAAACAUGCAGCCAGGAGCCACAAGUUGGAGCUAGUCUUGCUGUUUGCAGUAUUCAUGGUCUGACUGUAGACGGUUGUUGGUGCUCUGUCCGCUGCGGCCCUCGCUGUACGUAGACGGUUGUUGGUGCUCUGUCCGCUGCGGCCCUCGCUGUACGUAGAUGGGUUAGUAAUGUUCUGUGCUGGGCUAUGCUGCUUGGUUUAUAUAGUCCCAUCAUUGUAACUCCGAUUUACAGAGAGUGAGUGAACAUCUUAUUCACAGCAUUCCAGCUUUGUGAGCGAGCAGGUAAUGAGAUGCUCUGUGUAAUCACCGGGGUGGAGUGUCCUUCAUAACACGCUCUGCGUCUCCAUAACCAGUUUUAAAGGUUUAUUAAACCAAUUAUAAAAAUAAACAUGUCACAGGCGGUUACUUCACAGAAAAUGAUCCCUC